rnacentral:rRNA from 1 species
GGGCGCAAGCCUGAUCCAGCAAUGCCGCGUGCAGGAUGAAGGCCUUCGGGUUGUAAACUGCUUUUGUACGGAACGAAAAGCCCUGGGUUAAUACCCUGGGGUCAUGACGGUACCGUAAGAAUAAGCACCGGCUAACUACGUGCCAGCAGCCGCGGUAAUACGUAGGGUGCGAGCGUUAAUCGGAAUUACUGGGCGUAAAGCGUGCGCAGGCGGUUUUGUAAGACAGAGGUGAAAUCCCCGGGCUCAACCUGGGAACUGCCUUUGUGACUGCAAGGCUAGAGUACGGCAGAGGGGGAUGGAAUUCCGCGUGUAGCAGUGAAAUGCGUAGAUAUGCGGAGGAACACCGAUGGCGAAGGCAAUCCCCUGGGCCUGUACUGACGCUCAUGCACGAAAGCGUGGGGAGCAAACAGGAUUAGAUACCCUGGUAGUCCACGCCCUAAACGAUGUCAACUGGUUGUUGGGUCUUAACUGACUCAGUAACGAAGCUAACGCGUGAAGUUGACCGCCUGGG